GGCCUAACACAUGCAAGUCGAACGCCCUAGCAAUAGGGAGUGGCAGACGGGUGAGUAACGCGUGGGAACGUACCCUUCGGUUCGGAAUAAGCCGGGGAAACCUGGUCUAAUACCGGAUACGUGCGAGAGCAGAAAGAUUUAUCGCCGAAGGAUCGGCCCGCGUCCGAUUAGCUAGUUGGUGGGGUAAUGGCCCACCAAGGCGACGAUCGGUAGCUGGUCUGAGAGGAUGAUCAGCCACACUGGGACUGAGACACGGCCCAGACUCCUACGGGAGGCAGCAGUGGGGAAUAUUGGACAAUGGGCGAAAGCCUGAUCCAGCCAUGCCGCGUGAGUGAUGAAGGCCCUAGGGUUGUAAAGCUC
rnacentral:rRNA from 1 species